CUUGUACUCCCUCCGUCUGAAAAUACUUGUCAUUGAAAUGGAUGUAUCUAGAUGUAUUUUAGUUCUAGACACAUCCAUUUUGAUGACAAGUAAUUCUGGACGGAGGGAGUACUUG
rnacentral:pre_miRNA from 1 species